AACGAACGCUGGCGGCAUGCCUAACACAUGCAAGUCGAACGAGACCUUCGGGUCUAGUGGCGCACGGGUGCGUAACGCGUGGGAACCUGCCCUUAGGUUCGGAAUAACUCCCCGAAAGGGGUGCUAAUACCGGAUAAUGUCUUCGGACCAAAGAUUUAUCGCCUUUGGAUGGGCCCGCGUUGGAUUAGCUAGUUGGUAGGGUAAAAGCCUACCAAGGCGACGAUCCAUAGCUGGUCUGAGAGGAUGAUCAGCCACACUGGGACUGAGACACGGCCCAGACUCCUACGGGAAGCAGCAGUGGGGGAUAUUAGAAAAUGGGGAGAAAGCUGAUCCAACAAAGCCGCGGGAGUGGUGAAAGCCUUAAGGUUGUAAAGCUCUUUUACCCGGGAUGAUAAUGACAGUACCGGGAGAAUAAGCUCCGGCUAACUCCGUG
rnacentral:rRNA from 1 species